rnacentral:rRNA from 1 species
ACGCAAGCGUUAAUCAUCAUGAUCAGGCGUAAAGGGUUNGUAGGCAGCUUUAAUAAUAAUCAAAGCUAGACUCAAAUAUAGGUCAAUGUCAGAUAAUUCUUAGAGUAGGGAUUAAAUCUGUAUAUACUAAGAGGAAUACUAAUUAGCGAAGGAACUUUUCCAAAUUAUGAUUGACGCUAAGAAACGAAGGGGAGGAUAGAUAAUAGGAUUUGAUACCCUGGUAUCCCUCUCUGUCAACGAUGAAUGGUAGUUGCUAGUAAUAUUAUUAGUGGCGAUGCUGACGCGUUAACCAUUCCGCCUUGUGAGUACAAUUGCAAAGUUGAAAACAAAAAUUAGUCGGUUUCGGAGCAA